rnacentral:misc_RNA from 1 species
GAAGUGCGAUAAGCAAUGCGAAUUGCAGAAUUCCGCGAAUCAUCAGAUCUUUGAACGCAAAUGGCGCCAGAGGGAUAUCCUUCCGGCAUGUCUGUUUCAGUGUCUGAGAGGUUUCAUAAUAAUCUUAAUGUGAUUGAAUUCAGUUUUUGUGUGAUGAUAUUAUUAUUUCACAGAGCUGCUCUUUUCUCUCAUGAAAGAUGCGCAAGGGGAUCUUUCGGUCCAAUGAAGUGGUCACAUCACUCGAAUGUGAUUUCAUUGGAAGCACCGAAUUAUCAUUUUAAACUACUUGCGGUAUCAUAAAACCAAUUAUUAUUGUAGUUAGAUGUGUUAUAGCAUCCCAACAACAAUAAUAAUAUUCUCUAUACCCUGCAUCUGAGAUAGGCAAGAUCACCCGCUGAACUUAAGC